CCUCGGAGAGCUGGCGCGCUGGCGCCUCGCAGCAUCCCCUCUAGCCACCACUAACCAUAGAGAUGGGGGGGUCUGGCCCUUUAAUUCACCUGGCGGGAGGGGACCAGUUCUCCCAGGGGCUCCCGCCCCAGCAAUCCCAGAGAGGCUGCUCCCCUGGCCGGGAGACGGGGAAUCCUACGGGGGGGGGGGGUCAGAGACUCCCCCACUGGCGUCGGGUGGGGGCAAUGCCCCCCUUAGGGCGGGAGGAGGGAGACUCCUGGCGAAGUCAAACCACAGACAAACGUGUGGAAACCUUUUGCAGAAGCAGACGAGUUAAAGGACGUUAAAGGAGUCAGGAGGCGUUGUGCUACCCCAUUCUUACUGAAGGCUGCGAUCAAGGCACUAUUAUUCAUCUAAUUUUCAAAACUGAGGCAGUAAAGAAGCCCUGCUCCUGUGCUCCACUGUUUCUACUCUAGGAGCAUCACCGUCCCAGCUCACCGAAAAGGCCAAUGGCAUGUAGUUUCGGCGUCGCACCAACUUCUUACGGUCCCGCUCAAUCUUCUCUUUCUGAGCCAGCUGCUGGUAAUACUCAACCAGUUUGUUAAUCUGAAGGAAAAAAAGGACCAAUUACGUGCUGUGUGAAACACUGUGCCAGACAGGCCAAUGGCAUUCAUCCAUCUGUUGGGUUUCCCUUCCCAUAAAGUAUUUCCUACCAUUGCCAGUACUGGUUUUAUUUUGAAGGAAAUACAUCGAGGAAGUGUAGAUGUCUCUCAGUCUUACCACACAAUGGGCAACAGGAGCAGAAGUUUCAUUGCUCCUCAACACCCUCUACCAUGGCUCAUCUUAAGAUCAAUUCUAUCAUAAAAAUAACACAUUAUCCCACUUUCACUUCCCAGCUACCACAGUAAUGGAGACGUUUUUCAGGCUAUUGAGUGGAACACACGACACUCUCCAAAGUCAUGGAAAAUACAGCAUGGCCAAUUGAGAACAAUUUGGUGUUGAAGUACAAUUGGCAAUCUCCUUCACAGAGACCAAUGUGUUUAACAGAGGAUGAGGAUAGUAACAUAUUUUAUGCUGGGGACCAGGAGAGCUCCAGGCCUAGAAGAGGGGAUGACCAGGAAACAACUUCUGUUCACAUAGCCAACAAGCGUUUUUUCAAAACAGUUUGCAUGUUAAUUAAAAUAAAAGCUUUCCUGCCAAGUUAA